rnacentral:rRNA from 1 species
GGGCGGUUUCCGGGAUUAUUGGGCGUAAAGAGCUCGUAGGCGGUUUGUCGCGUCUGCCGUGAAAGUCCGGGGCUCAACUCCGGAUCUGCGGUGGGUACGGGCAGACUAGAGUGAUGUAGGGGAGACUGGAAUUCCUGGUGUAGCGGUGAAAUGCGCAGAUAUCAGGAGGAACACCGAUGGCGAAGGCAGGUCUCUGGGCAUUAACUGACGCUGAGGAGCGAAAGCAUGGGGAGCGAACAGGAUUAGAUACCCUGGUAGUCCAUGCCGUAAACGUUGGGCACUAGGUGUGGGGGACAUUCCACGUUUUCCGCGCCGUAGCUAACGCAUUAAGUGCCCCGCCUGGGGAGUACGGCCGCAAGGCUAAAACUCAAAGGAAUUGACGGGGGCCCGCACAAGCGGCGGAGCAUGCGGAUUAAUUCGAUGCAACGCGAAGAACCUUACCAAGGCUUGACAUGAACCGGUAAGACCUGGAAACAGGUCCCCCACUUGUGGCCGGUUUACAGGUGGUGCAUGGUUGUCGUCAGCUCGUGUCGUGAGAUGUUGGGUUAAGUCCCGCAACGAGCGCAACCCUCGUUCCAUGUUGCCAGCGCGUUAUGGCGGGGACUCAUGGGAGACUGCCGGGGUCAACUCGGAGGAAGGUGGGGACGACGUCAAAUCAUCAUGCCCCUUAUGUCUUGGGCUUCACGCAUGCUACAAUGGCCGGUACAAAGGGUUGCGAUACUGUGAGGUGGAGCUAAUCCCAAAAAGCCGGUCUCAGUUCGGAUUGGGGUCUGCAACUCGACCCCAUGAAGUCGGAGUCGCUAGUAAUCGCAGAUCAGCAACGCUGCGGUGAAUACGUCCCCGGGCCUUGUACACACCGCCCGUCAAGUCACGAAAGUUGGUAACACCCGAAGCCGGUGGCCUAACCCCUUGUGGGAGGGAGCUGUCGAAAGUGGGACUGGCGAUUGGGACUAAGUCGUAACAAGGUAAC